GUGGGGAAUUGUUCGCAAUGGGCGCAAGCCUGACGACGCAACGCCGCGUGGAGGAUGAAGAUCUUCGGGUCGUAAACUCCUGUCGAGCGGGAAGAACACCCCUGGCGUGAACAGCGCCGGAGGUUGACGGUACCGCGAGAGGAAGCCCCGGCUAACUCCGUGCCAGCAGCCGCGGUAAUACGGGGGGGGCAAGCGUUGUUCGGAAUUACUGGGUGUAAAGGGCUCGUAGGCGGCCAACUAAGUCCGACGUGAAAUCCCCCGGCUUAACUGGGGAACUGCGUUCGAUACUGGUUGGCUUGAGAUCGGGAGAGGGACGUGGAAUUCCAGGUGUAGCGGUGAAAUGCGUAGAUAUCUGGAGGAACACCGGUGGCGAAGGCGGCGUCCUGGACCGACACUGACGCUGAGGAGCGAAAGCCAGGGGAGCAAACGGGAUUAGAAACCCGAGUAGUCC
rnacentral:rRNA from 1 species